rnacentral:misc_RNA from 1 species
AACCUAGCACACCUGCGGUGUGUACCUGCGGAAGGAUCAUUACCUAGAGUUGUAGGCUUUGCCUGCUAUCUCUUACCCAUGUCUUUUGAGUACCUUACGUUUCCUCGGUGGGUUCGCCCACCGAUUGGACAAACUUAAACCCUUUGCAGUUGAAAUCAGCGUCUGAAAAGACUUAAUAGUUACAACUUUCAACAAUGGAUCU